CUUCGCGGCCCCGAGCGUCCGGCCUCCGCGCCCGUGCCGCCCGGCGCCCCGGCCUUGACCCCGGGCCCGCGCCCUACCCGUUGACGCCGGCCGCUCUGCGCCCAGGCACCAGCCCGCACCCCGGACGCGAGGUCUGACCCAUGACCCCGGGGACGCCCAGAGCCCAGUCCUUGGGAAGGGCCAGGCCCCUGGAGAGGAGCUUCUUCAGGGCGCGUCCCAGACUCUGCGUCUCGAGUGAACGCCUACUGUGUGCCUGGCUCUGAGCACGGGACUGUCGCUGCCACGGCAUCUUUAGGAACCUUCCCACUAACCCAGUGGGAAGGCACAAUGGCUGUUACCAGCGAUCGCUCUUCCCUCCCCAGUCAAUGCCAACUCCCCCCUGCCCCGCCUCAGAGACCCCGCUGUCUUUAGAUACAGGCCACCGCCAAGCCCUGGUCUGCCCCAAGAUCAAUUACUGCGCACCCGGUUCCCCUGGGGUCCUUCAGUUAAUCCUCCUCACCCCGAAGUCUGGAACCUGCCUUGCACAUGGAAGCGGUUAGCUACUUCGCUUCAGCAAAAGUUCACUUUCGGACCCAAGUUGGGAAUUACUAAUGUAGACAGUGAUUCCUUAUCAUCACACACGUUUUUUAAAAACUGCGGACAGGCCGAAAGAGGAGGAGCCGCCACAAAGCCCGCCACGUCUUCCUAAAUUGGUUUACCGCCUGAAGGCAUUGGUGCCCCAUCCCGGGUACUUAAAUGGGGGCCUGCCCUCUACUCCCCUCCCUCCAAAGUGUGGAGCCGGAAGCCACUUCUCCAUCCAGCUGUGAACUAAAUUUGGAUAAUAAUACACAUCCCUCAGGGUUGAUGUGAAGUUUAAAGUGCCGCUACUGGGGAUUAUGGAGGUAAUUAGAGACCCCCACCCCCACCCCCCAGUCCUCAGGCUGCGCGGGAAUCGCAGCGGCAGUAACCUCCACCUCACCGGGAUGCUUUACACCUUACUUUAAGAGUUUGCAAAACAAUGUCCAAUACCUGCCAUUCAUGCAUUCGUUAAUUCGAUUAAGUACUGAGAACGUAUUUUGUGUCAUACAUCGAUUUGGGUGCUGGAUAUGAAACAGCCAAGAGAACAGGCAGAAAUCUCUGCCCUCCUGUAGUUUGCAGUCUCGUGGGGGAAAGACAGACAAACGGGAGAAUGUGUCAGAGGGUCUCCAUGGGGUGGAGAAAAAUAAGGCGGAGAAGGGGAAUAGGAAGUGUGAGAUAAGAGUGAGGCUCAAAUACAAGAGAAGGCCUCUAUGAGAAAGUAACAUUUAAAGCCUGAAGAAAUUGAGGGAGCAAGCCGUGUGGAUGUCUGGGGAAGAACUGCGCCGAGCAUGAGGAAUAGCAAGUGCAAAGGCUGGGGUAGGAGUGUGUCCAAAAUAGUCAAGACAGAGCGAGUGUGAGGUUGGAGUAGAAUGGGUGAAGGGGAAAGUAACAGGAGAUGAAGCUGGAAAAAUGAUGAUGCUUAUGAUGCUUCUGGUCCCAAAACAAAGCAUUAUGGUUCUAUGAGGAUCUCCCGAAGAAAAGAUGUCAGGAAAGGUGCAGAGACCCUCCCCCACACACCACAUUGUUGUUCCAUCCUUCUCUGUGCCUUUGGGCAAGGACUCUCCGUUCUGUAGGGACCACCAGGUGGAAUUAAAGUCUACACUCCUCCAAGAGCUGAUCUUGGGGCGGCCCCACCUCCAUGCCCCUCUACAGCGUGCCAUUCUCAUAGAACACACUAGGACCUUUGUCCUCUGGAGCUGUUCAGUGCAGCAGCUCUGACCUCAUCCUUCUCCAGAAGCCUCCACCUUCUCUCCCCUCUCUCCUCCUGCGCUUUGUGUGUCCUGUUCUUCCACUUCGGUGACCUGUCUCCUCCCCUAAUCUGGCUCAGAGAGGGGUACCAGCUGCUGCUGCUGCUAUUGCUUCUUCUUCUGUUAAAGGUUUUUUAUUUUUUUCCAAUGACAAAGCUAUGCUCAUUCUGAAAACAUGAAAAAUAAAAAUGCUCAAAAAAUAAAA
rnacentral:lncRNA from 1 species